UACGGAGGGUGCGAGCGUUGUUCGGAAUCACUGGGCGUAAAGGGCGUGUAGGCGGUCUGCUAAGUCUGAUGUGAAAGCCCGGAGCUCACCCCCCGGAAGUGCAUUGGAUACUGGCGGACUCGAGUCCCGGAGAGGAGAGUGGAAUUCCGUGGUGUGAGCGGUGAAAUGCGCAGAUAUCAGGAAGAACACCCGUGGCUAAGGCGGCUCUCUAGUACGUGACUGACGCUGAGACGCGAAAGCGUGGGGAGCGAACAGG
rnacentral:rRNA from 1 species